UUAUCAGAGCAGCUUCUGUGGCCUCACAAAUCCCAAGCAUUCUGAGUUCCAGCCAACCUUCCGCUUCCCUCUCCUUUAGAGGCACCCACCGGGGACAUGCUGAGACCCCUGCACCUGGUCCCUCCUCAUUCUUCAGGAAAGCACAUUUGAAGGUGUUUUUCUGGAAGUACAGAUGGGGAACAGCUGGCAGUGAACCCUUGCUUGGAUUGAGUACGAGCCGAAGUGUUACGAACUCCCAAGUAAUGUUAGGAAAGAUGAUCCAACAAGCUAAGAUCUGGGAAGAUGAUGCCAUUUUGAAAUAGACAUUGCCAAAU
rnacentral:lncRNA from 1 species